rnacentral:lncRNA from 13 species
CAAAAAGAAAAUAAAAGGCAUCCAUGAUUAUUACAUUAACUGUGAUUGUACUAAAAAUUCUUAAGUAGUCAAACAUUAUUUCACUAAGUAAAAAAGUAAGAUCAACUUAUAUUCUGUCUUAUAGAGACUAAUACAAAGAUGGUCUAGAAGUAAAAGUAUAAGGAAAACAUAUGUCAUGAAAAGGGUAGCAGAAGGAAGUUGGUGUGGCUAUAUUCAUAGACACAUUGGACAUUGAGUGUAUUAUGAUAAAAGGACAUUUUAUAAUGAUAUGAAGAGUUGAUUCACCAGGAAGCUAUUACAGUCAUAAAUAUUGUAUAUAACAGAGCUUUUCAAAUAUUGAGAUAAAAAUGGACAAACCUAAAUUGAUAAACAUAAAAAUUUAUAAUCACAGCAAGAAAUUUUUACAGUUCUGUCUUAAUAAUUCAUGGAAGAACUAGAUCGAGAAUAAAUGAAGAGUGAAGGAGAAGAUUUGAAUACUACCGAUCAAAUUGACCUAAUUUUUUUAAAGUACAUAUAAAACAACCACAAAAUAUACAUUAUUUUGAGUGUUCAUAGAUGAUUCUCCAAGAAAGAGCACAUAAGACAGCUAAUAAUAAGUUUUGAAAUACUCAUGAACUUUCAAUCUUACUGACUUAUUUUUUCAGAAAAAAAUAUUAAAUUUAGACUCAUUUUUCAGGAGUGAAGAUUACCUGAGAUGAGUACAUCAGAUCAAAAACCAUUUCAUCCAGAUUGUUUUAUAGAUGUUAAGGUGAAGAGAAAUUGGGUGAUAUAAGAAAGUAGGCAUAAUUUAAAAUGUAGGCUUCAUGACUAUUUUUAGAAGAGGGAUACUAAUGAGUCUGGUAGUAUAUUUUUGUGUUUUUACUACAGGUUUUGUUUUUGUGGUUACCAUGAGUCUUAAACAUUUUAUAGUAAUAACAGACUUUUUUCAGCUGAUAAUAGCUUUGAUAAAAAAAACUACACUUUUACUUCAUUCCUCAUAACAUUAUGAAGUUUUGAUAUUAAUUUUGCAUCUUUUUAUAUUGCGUAUCCCUAAAAUAUACUGUAACUAAUAUUUUAACAGUUUUGUCUUGUAGCAUUAAUAUUAAAGACAUAAGUAAUUUAUAUAAUUCCAGUAUUAGAUAAUUCUGUAUUUGUCUGUGUACUUUUACUAGUGAAUUUUAUGCUUUCAGAUGUUUUUGUGUUUCUCAUUAGCAACCUUUCCUUUCAGCUUGAAUAACUCCCUUUAGCAUUUCUUGUAAGAGAAUUUUGGUUGUGAUAAAUUCUCUCAACUUAUGUUUCAUAGUAAAUUAUUUCUCUCUCCUUAAUUUCUGGAAAGCAUAAUAUUCUUAGUUUCUGCUAAGGUUUCUGCUGAGAAAUCAUCAGCUACUCAUUUUGAAACUCCCUUACAUGUUAUCUGCUUCUUUUGUCUUACCGAUUUCCAGAUCCUCUCUUUGUGUUUCAUAUUUGACAGUUUGAUUAUAGGAUUUCUUAGAGUACUCUUACAGGGAUGGAAUAGAGUUAGAGACCUUUGAGCUUCCUGUCCCUGGACAGUUACAUCUUUCUCCAGGUUUGGAAAAUUUUCUGCAACUAUUUCCUUAAAUAAGCUUUCUACAUCUUUGUCUGUUUCUUCUUCAACUUCUCUGACUCAGAAAAAAUUACUCUUUUUGCUGCCCCAUUAAUCCCGUAAGAUUUUGUUAUUCUUUUUUAUUCUUUUUUUUUUUCUCUUGUCUCUCCUAUUUUCACACAUCCUUUCUUCAGGUUCACAGAUAUUUUUCUCAUGCUUGAUAAAUUUUGCUACUGAUGCUCUCUAUUCAACUUUGCAUUUAAUUUAUUGUAUUUCUUAGCCCCAACAUUUUUGGGUUUUUAGUUCAACCUCUCCAUUAAUUUUCUCAAUCUGGUCACAUUGUUUCCUUAUUUUGUUAAUUUUUUUUUAUGUGUUUUCUUGAAGUUUGCUGAGCUUCCUAAUAGUAUUUAUUUCAAAUUCUUUUUCAAGCUGUUGCUACAUCUCUGAGUCUAACUCAGUAACUUGCACUUUACUUUGCUGGUUUGGUGAUAUCAUAUUUCCCUAACUAUUCUUGAUCCUCAUGGCUAUCUGUCAAUGUUUGCAUAUUUGAAGAAGAAGAUACUUAUUCCAGUUUCCACAAAGUUUUUUUGUCUGGGGCAGACCAGAAGCUUAGGAUAGAUUCAGCCCGCAUGGCACUGCCAGAAGCCUGAGAUGCACUAAGGCAGUCAUGGCGCUGGGACACUAAGUCAUGAAGCUUAGUGAGCUGCCUGUUGCUGAGGGCUAUCUGGGACCCAGGACCACUGACAUUGGCUCAGCAGUGGUGCAGUCCAGGGGCUGAGUUCUCCAAAAAAGUCUGGCACCUGGGGUUGUGUGAUCCCACCUGGCACCAGGUCAGUUCUAAACAGUUAGUCCAUCUGUACUGAACUGGAACGUAGGGUAGUGAAUGUCUGCCCAGUGCUGGGUUUUACUGUGAUGGGCCUAGUGUCCAGUCCAAAACAAAGUCCUUUGCUUGCUUCUCUCUCUCUCCCACAAGUGAAUGAUACCUCUUCCCAUGCUGUGCUCCCUGUGUUUGGGGGAGGGGUGACACAUAUGAUGCAAUACUGUCCUUCUUACUCUCUUCAAUUUCUUAUUAUUGUGCUAUAAUCAGGUACUGUGAUCUCUCACCUGUGUUCCUUCAGUAUUGGGAAAGUAUUCUUGCAUGUCAAUAGUUAAGUUGAUUUUUAUGAUUUUAUACCUUCAUAGAUUAUGAAAAUAAGACACAUGUGGUCCUUGCGCUAGAGAUCUUGAGAUUCUUUCAAUGACUAAUGGAGUUUUGUGGUUCUCAUUAUGGAGAAGGGAGAGAAUGAGAAAAAGAAGAAAGAAGAAGGAGGAGGAAGAGGAGAAGGAAAGAAGAGAAGGAGGGGAAAGAAAAGGGCAAGCUGAUGUAUUUUUUUGUUUGAUAAAUAGUUGAUUCAUGUCAAAUGAAAUAAUACUGUUUCUUAAUGUGAGUAAAAUAAUGAGCAUAGAUAUUAAAGAAUAAAAGAGAAGGGCAUAUCUAUUGUUAGACUUUU